UCUAAGCUUUCCUUUGGGGAAGACCUAAUGUGCAUCUACUAGCUCAGAGUACUGGAGCAUCUGGUAGGUAGACUCCCCUCCCCACCAAUCUAGGGCAGUGAUCUAGAGUCCAUGAUGGACUUCUUUCACUGCUGUCCUUGGGGAGCCUUGGGGGACCUUGGUGGAAGGCACAGGAUACUGGAGGAGCUAGGGCUACUUCCAAGAGUACAGGUGAUGAUUUGCUUACUUCCUGUCCAUGGAUAACUGUUGAAUCGGGCACUGAGGAUCCUGAGGCAGGGAGGGAUAUGAACAACUGGCUCUCACUGUGGGGGAGCUUGUGACCUUCUUAGGGAACUGUCCUGGUGCCCUAACCAGAAGCCCAGGAACAGAUGACUCCUGACAAUCAAAAUACCUAAUGGAACUUGUGGAUGUCCGUGUGCAAGAUCCUUAGGGAUGCCUCUUUGGAUGAAGAAUGGGGGAAGAUGGGGGUCAGAGAGGCCGAUUUUCUGACAGUUAUUUAGUAGCCAGGAUAAGUGACUUGAAGACAGGAUAAGUGGUGACUCACUAGAUAUGUGGGAGGCUAGAAUGGAGAUAGAUGCACACUCUCCUCUCCCUUCCUUUGAAUCCAGAGACUUGGUGCACUGAACAGUGCCCGAGGUGGUGCUCUGGAACCUCCUAACAAUCACAGAUGUGAUGGAUGGAGGGCAUCCCAAGGCCACUGUAGUCUGAAGAACCAGGACUACCAGUCAUGAUAGAGAUGGGAGUUUCCAUUUGGGGUUUUCUGGCCUUGGAAAACCCCCUCCUUAGUCUCAGAUGUGCAUCUGGGACAGGAGCUUGGAGGCAGCUUUCUUAGAAGCAUUUUUACACAAAAUUCUGGGGUUGGGAAGGGGAGAGAACAGGAUGACAUGUUUUCUUCUUCCCUUUUCCACAAGACCUGCUGCUGACAACCUCCUCUCCAUCGUCUGAUUUACCUUGUCUUCUUCACAGGAAGCUCUGAAGCCAACAUGGCCAUCCCCCAAGCGGUAGACUAUUCCAGAAUCUUUGGUGUUCAUGAUUCUCUACAGAUGGUGUGGGUCCUGAAUGGAAAUUCUUUAAUAACAACUCCUUUUAACAACAAUGUCAGUCCUGUCAGUCUUGAUUUAAUGACAUGUAUGGACAAAGAAUUCCAUGAUGCAGGAAAAGGCAAUCCAGUUUACUUGGGAAUCAAGAACAACCAUCUUUGUCUUUUCUGUGCAGAAAUUCAGGGCCAGCCAACUUUACAGCUUAAGGAGAAAAAUAUCAUGGAUGUACACAACAAGAAGAAAGCACAGAAGCCUUUUCUCUUUUUCCAUAAUAAGGAGGGCUCCACCUCCACUUUUCAGUCCGUCUCCUACCCUGACUGGUUCAUAGCGACUUCCAAAAUAGCAGGACAGCCUGUCAUUCUCACCAAGGAGAGGGGCAAAGAUUACAUCACUAACUUCUAUCUAGAGCCUCAGGACUAAAUUCAGCCUGGGCUGUGGGUAACUGAUUCCAGGAAAGAGGAUCAAGCAAUCAGAGAAUCUUCCAUUCAGAGACAUAGUGAUGAACUCAGCAAGGAGACUGACUCAGUGCGAAACUUCCCAUUGCAGACCAGACAAAGCACGUCCUCGUGGGAUCUACUUCCUUUAUCACCGGACUGAAGGCAAGUAAUCAUGGGUCUAAAGGCUGAGGACAGAGAAAGGGAAGGGUGGUCUCAGAUUUCUGCAUCUGGCCUCUUGUUUCUGAGUUUGAUAUCAACUAGUGAAGAUUGGACUUUGGAUGCCAAACUCACUCCAGGCAUCUUGGUGUCCAAGGAGGUAGUCAGUGUGUGCUUUGUAGGAUGAGGCAGGCACCAACUUUGAGUUCUGCUCUUUCUUGACCCUUAACCAUUACAAGCUGAAUGACAGAGUCCCACUGUGCACUCAUUACAAAACUCAGUGAACACGAAAGAAGGAAAAAUCAGAUAACCCCAAACGUGGUCACCACCCUCACCCUGUGGGCAUCCUCACUAUGGCACAUUUCUCCAGCUAAAAACACUGAUUAGCUUUGUAUUUAGUUGGGUCAGGAAAGAUUUUUAAAAUAGCUGGAGUAACUAUCAAAUUAACAUAGAGGAUGUAACUUCCAAAGUUGAGGGAAGGAUGAACAAAGGAGAAACAAAACCUCACUCAUCCAGAUGAAGGCACUAAAUGAAGGAGAAAAAGAAACAAGAGAAAGAAAGAAAGAAAGAAAGAAAGAAAGAAAGAAAGAAAGAAAGAAAGAAAGGAAGAGAAAGAAAGAAAACAAAAGGAUGGUAGAAAUAAAUUGACAUAUUUCAGUAAUUAGUCAAUUUAAAUUAACUUUCCAGUUAAAAGAAGGUUACCAGACUAGAAAAAGAAAUACUGCAAUGUGCUAAUUACAGGAGACAUCCUUAGAACUAAAAGGCAUGAGUUUCUUUCAGUGUCACUGAGUAGGCUCUGAUUGGACCAAGACUUUCACAAAACCAACUACAAGAGCUGGUGGGAAAUGGGGAGGGACCCAGAAUGCAUUGGUGACCAAGCAUAAGCAAACACAUGCAAGCACAUUCUGCAGGGGAGUAGCUACUUGGAAAAAUAUGUCCAAUUUUUAUUCUGAUGGCAGGCUUAAGCCGCACAGCAUAAGACAACUAAAGCUAAACCCUAAAGUCCUCCUUGAAGAACCAGGGGACAGAUCUGGGACAACCACAGCACUGGAAAGUAAGGGGGUAAUCUUAGAAGGAGAGAGGCAGGGGCAUCUGGGUGGCUCAGUAGGUUAAGCAUCCGACUUCGGCUCAGGUCAUGAUCUCAUGUUUUGUGGGUUUGAGCCUUGUGUUGGGCUCUGUGCUGACAGCUCAGAAUCUGGAGCCUGCUUCAGAUUGCGUCCCCCUCUUUCUCUCUGCCCUUCCUCUGCCCCCUUCUCUGCUUGUGCUCUCUCUCUCUCUCAAAAAUAAAUAAACACUUAAAAAAAAAAAAAAGGAGAGAGGCAGUGAGGGAGAGCUCAAAAUUCAGUGUAAAAAGUGCCCAAAUCCCUGGCUGACCCUCGAGCUAUGCCUAGAAGCCCAGCUAAAGGUAAAGGAACUGAUCUGACAUAUUUCCUGCCACUUGAGGGACAGGGUUUGUAUUUUGAGUCUAAUGAAGUUACUGCAUGGUAGAGCAGAAAUAUAAAUUUCUUCAAAGGAGUGUAACAGAUAUAGAGCGUUAUAAUAUAUAACGUUUAUAAUGCCCAGGGAACAAUUCAAAGUUACGAGGAACAAAGAAUGUGUGCUCCUGUGUCAAGAAUUAUGGCAAUGACGACCAACCCUGAAAUGAUCUAGAUGUCAGAAUUAGUGGGCAAGAAUUGUAAAACAGAACCAUCUUAACAGAAUAAAGGAGAAAUGCCAUAUGAUUAUUUCAAUGGCUACAGAGAAAACAUUAGGUUAAAGUUAACCCCUACUCAUGAUAUACACUCUCAGUCCACCAGGAACAGAAAAAACUUUUUCAGUAUCUAAAAGGGCAUCUACACACACACACACACACACACACACACACACACACAAAUCUACAGCUCACACUUAAUGGUGAGAGACUGGAUGUUUUUUCCUGAGAUCGGUAAUCAGUCAAGGAUGGUUGUAUUCAACAUUUUACCAGAGAUCCUAGCCAUUUAAAUUAAAAAUAAAUUAAAUUAAAAUAUCCAAGGAAUGAAGACCCGAAAAUAAGGAAAGCUGUCCCUAUUUGCAGACGAUAUGAUUGUAUGGAAAAUCCUGAGAAAUCUACAGAACAACUACCAGAACUAAUAAGUGUAAGGUGGCAGGAUACCGUGUUAAUAUAGGAAAGUUAAUUGCAUUUUUUAAUGUUUAUUUAUUUACUUUGAGUGGGGGGAAGGGACGGGGGGGGGGGGGGGGCGGAGAAAACAUUCCAAGCAGGCUCCGUGCUGUCAGCGCAGAGCCCAACGCGGGGUUCAAUCUCACGAACACUGAGAUGAUGACCUGAGCAGAAACCAAGAGCCAGAUGAAUAAUCCACUGAGCCACCCAGGAGCCCCUAACGGUAUUUCUUAAACAAAUAACAAACUUUCUUUAAAAAAUUGCAGUAUAACAUACACAGAGGACACUGCACAGCUCAUCAGGAUAUAGUUUGCGGAAUUUUCCGAUUAUACACAUAAGCAGCCAGAAGCAGCCCUUGCUCCUUGCAGCCACUAUUUCUACCUCAGCGUGUGGCUAACCCCUAGCCUGAUGUCCAACACCAUGGAUUGGUUUUCCUCAGUUUUGAAUUAUGUAAAUGAAACAAUGCAGCAUGCCUUCUUUUUGUGCUUGGUUUCUUUCGCAAUAUUAUGUUUGAGAACCACCUUUGAAGUUAAGCAAAAAAGCAAACUUUAAAUAAAUAACACACUUGCAUGAUUUUUUUAAAAAAUUCAGGUAGGAUGAAGGGAACAAAGUGAAAAUCAGUUCUGCCUCCCAACCCAUUUUCUCAUUUUCUUUUUUGCCUAGAGAUAAUUUAAUUGACUUUUUCCAGUUUGCAGACUAUCUUUGGAGAGAAAUUUAGGACACAAACAGGCCUCUGAAUGUGUACUUUUUCCACAUACAUGGUAGCACAUGCUACAUAUAGAAGAGGACCCUUCAGAGGAUGUACUUCUGAGAUAUUUUCUGAGUCAACCUACUCUUUCUCCAUCCCUGUUGUCAUUGUUCAUUCACCGUUGAAGAAUAAGGGGCUGUUAGUUUGUGACUGUCCCUCAAGUUGGGAUUGUCUGGCAUUUCCUCAUGAUUAGAUUCAGCUUAUGCACGGUUGGCAGGAACAUUCCAGAAGAGAUCACGUGUCCUUCUCAGUGUAUCAUCUGUAAGGAGAUGCCUUGUGUUGGCUUGUGCCCUUACUGGUAAAUGAAAUUUUGGCCACUUGGUUAAGGUGAGGUUGGCUAGGUUUCUCCACUGCAAAAUUCCCAAUUUUUCUUUUGUUUAAAGAUUUUUUUAAAUUAUUUAUUCAUUUUUUAAAAUAU